rnacentral:snRNA from 1 species
GGACAUGAGAAUGAUCCAGCUGUGCCAUCUGCCAGCUCUUUGAUUGCCAGGGUUGACUUGGUUCAUCUGGCUGGCUCGGCAGGUGUCCCCUCCCACCUUACUGUGCCUUGCCUUCCACCCGAAGCCCUGCGCUUGGUUGAAGAGGAUGACCUUCCCCAGUAGAGGAGAGCCAUUUCCUCUGUCUGGGUACAGGAGCAGCUGCUCUUUCCUCCCGGAUCCCCCACACAGCUCUCCAGGGCAUGUGCCUACUGGAUAUGUUGUCUGGAUUCAAGGGUCAUCUGCACUGAUGACACAGCUAGUGGGACGAGAGCUGCUUGUCUUUCUCAU